rnacentral:rRNA from 1 species
UACAGAGGGUGCAAGCGUUGUUCGGAAUUAUUGGGCGUAAAGGGAGUGUAGGCGGCCAUUUAAGUCUUCUGUGAAAUUUACGAGCUUAACUUGUAACGUGCAGAGGAUACUGGGUGGCUUGAGUGUCGGAGAGGAUAGUGGAAUUCCCGGUGUAGAGGUGAAAUUCGUAGAGAUCGGGAGGAACACCAGUGGCGAAGGCGACUGUCUGGCUGACAACUGACGCUGAGACUCGAAAGCAUGGGGAGCAAACAGG